AUCGGGUGGGGCUGUUACCUUUCCACACGGCCCUUUGGUGCAGUGCACACGGUCCGUCAGCGUAUUUAACAGGCUGCUCAGUGCCUCCAGAUCCAGAGCGUCCUGGCCAGAGGCAAGCCUGACGCUCCUCAUGCUCCUCUGGCUCCCGGGAUGGGUCAUCAGAAUCAUCCUCUGGAAUACAGCCAGCCCAGCUUUGAGCCUGUGGAAGGCCAGCAGAGAAACCCCACCCAAGCUCCCUAACUGCUAAGGAAGAAAGUGAACUCUGGGGACAGUGGGCACCAGGGUUUCUUAGCCAGUGAGAGUCAGGGGUCCUGCUGCAGACUGUGUGAAGAACAGAGUAGGUGCCUGCCAGAUUGGAGUGGAUGGCAGCAUAGGCCUGCAGACCCACACCCAGGAACUUUACAAAGGGAGGGGCCUGAGAGGCAAAAGCACAGAGGCUGGAACAAGACCACCUACCCUCUAGCUUCUCAUCCACGAUAGCCAAGCUCUUCUCAAAGGCAGCCUGGGCCUGCAGCAAGGCCUCCCUCGACUGGCAGUGGUCAUGGAUAUCCAGGUGAGUGCGGCCAAUGGUGGCCCAGGCCCUCUGCAGCUCCGUGUGGUUGGAUAGGGAGCCAGCCAGUUCCAGGUAGCGGUGCUGGUGCUGUUGUGGAGAAGAAAAACCCACUAAACUCACCACACCUCAAGCAAACCCACAAGUCCUGACCCCAGGGAAAGCUACUCUUGCCCAGAACCCCCCCACCCCACUGCCCCAAAGCCCCACAAAACUGGUCACUUAUGUCACCUCUUCUCUGCACCGAGGGUUGUCUGUGGGGACAGCAGCUCCACGCUGCAACUAGUUAAUGUUCUUUAUCACAAGAGAAGACCGGGAGUUGUUGGUAUGUUCCCAUGUUCCCCAGCAGCAGUGGGUCCUCUUGCCUCUUCCACAUAAAGAGCUUAAGUACUUCCUGGAGGCCGCAAUGCCUUACCUGCAGGGCCGCCGAGUAGUCCUCCAUCUCGGCCAGCCUUUCUCCGAUCUUGCGGUGGGCCACCGCACAGCCCAAGGGGUCCUGGGCGUCCUCCAGCAGCCGUAACUCCUGCCGGUGUUCCUCCAGGGCCUCCGCAUAGCGGCCUGGAGAGUGGCAAAGACGCCAUAAUCGGUCGGGCGUCCCGGAAGGGUAGGAUCCCCACCGCGCCCGGCGCCUGCGCGCGCUUACCGUGGCCUGCCAGGAGUUCCCCCAGCUGGUGGCAAAAGGCCGCCUCCUCCCGCGGCUGCCCGCUCCUUUGCGCUCUGGCCUUGGCCUUGUUCAGCUCUGCCAGGAGGAAAGAGAGUGGAGGGCUCAACACAGUUCCACUCCCCACCCCGAGACCGGAACCUGCGCCCCAAGGGACUCACGACGAAGCUCGCGAUCCAAGAUCAUGAUCGCUACCCAGCGGCGGUCGCGGGAUCCAGACUUCCCGCGCGGCCCGAGGCCCCGCCCAGACCGCCUCUCGGAUCCGGAGUGCUGGCCACGCCCAGAUUCCUGCGCCUGUUUGGUCCUGCCCGGAAGGCGUCGACGUCGCCCCCUCGUGGAGGUUGCAAUUUGGCAUGAGAAUUUCAAUGAGUGGAUGCUACUGAGACCUGUCCCACCCCGCCGCUUGAGGUGGACACAGCCAAUCACAUUUGGGAUUCAAACCCCAGGGAUAUUGGAAGAUGGGGGUGAUCGGAAGGCGCGGGGUAGGGGGUAACGGUGGUGGUGGUGGAUGUUUUCCAAAACGAGCAAAGUAGUCUCCUAUUAUGUGCUGGCUAUGCUACCAGAAGAUCCAGUGAAGGCACAUUAAAACUGCAAAUCUG